rnacentral:rRNA from 1 species
UGGCGUGCGUUGAGCGCGGUGGCCCCACCCCGUCCCAUCUCGAACCGGGUCGUGAAACACCGCAGCGCUGAAGGUACUGGCUCCCCUGGAGCUGGGAGACAAGGUCCGCGCGCCCA